CUACUAUAUGACUAGGGUUAACAGAAGGAACAAAAACAGGUAAACUAACAGAUGAAUGACAAGCAAAUAUGAAAGUGGAUAUAACAGGAAAAAGAUCAUCACCUGGAUAUAGUUAGUAUAGCCUUCCCACAGCCUUACCAAUUUUAGUGGCCUCUUCAUAGAAGGGCCCUGUAAAGAUCAAAUUUAUUUGGUAAAUAAAGUUGAACAAUCUAAUUGACAGAUGAGUUGGUGUACAUAAAUCAGAUUAAAUUGAAAGAAAGGAACAAGGAGGACAUGAAGUAAGACUAUAUCAUGUAUGACAUGCAAAUAUCCAGUGAAAACUAAUUUGGCUUUAUAUCCAUUUGGCAAAGUGACAAGGAAUGGUUUAGUUAAAGGUUUCACAUUAAAGAGUAAGUGUUUAUGUUGAGUUAUAUGGUUAGUUGCACUUGUAUCUAAUAUUCAAGGAUUUAUUAUUAACUGUGAUAAACCACAUACAUGAGGGUCCAUAGAACUUAUAGCAUAACUACUAAACAAACCUGCAAAAUGGACAAUAUUAUUGUCCACAGUAGAAUCAUCAUGAGUUGACACAGAAGAUAGUUGAGCUUGCUGAAUUAGAGCUAGGAGAUGUUAGUACUGCUCCUUAGUAAAACCAUGAGCUGAUGACUCAGGAAACUAUGUAGUUGGAGCAGCAUGCAAAGGUGUAGAGGAAGUGAAAGAAUUUUCAGUUUGGACACAUGAAGCAAACUUCUUGUUCUUUGUGAACUUGAAGUCUGGAGGAAAUCCAUGGUGCCUGUAACAUUUAUCCACAGUGUGUCCAUGUUUCUUACAAUAUUUACAAGAAAUAUUUGUAUUAGACCUCCUGUAUUCAAAAUUCACCUUUUGACUGAAGGUCUUGUUCACAUUUGAUGAUCCACUAGAAACUAGGAGGAAGGAUGUAUCUCCAAAAAGACUUGGGACAGAAGAAUGGGCUUCCCUUUGACUUUCGUCAUGUUGAAGAAGAGAAUAACCCUUGCUCAUUAGUGGAAGAGGGUUCAUCAUCAUAAUAACACUUUUUACAGUUGAAUAGGACUCCUUUAAACCAUAUAGAAAUUAGAAUAAUUGUUGAUCUUCUAUGAAUUUGGGCAAGGCACCACAAGAACAUACAUGUCCUACAUAUGAGGAAUGUAGCUCAUCCCAUAGGCUUCUCAUCUUUGUAAAGUAAGAUGCUAUGUCAGAAGACCCCUGAGUAGUAGAAUGAAUUUUGCUUUGAAGUUAGAUGAACUUAGACCCAUUUGACUUCCAAAACCUAUCAUUGAUGUCUUUCCAUACUUCCUUGGCAGUCCUAAAACACAUCACACUGGCUCUAGAUACUGAAUUUGUUAUCAAGGCCUUGACCAUGUCAUUACAUCUUUCCCAAUAUGCAAAGUAAGGGGAAUCUGAUGUGGGCGGAGAGACUCUACCAUCUACUAACCCUAAUUUAUUCUUUGCAGAGAGAGAAGUGACUAUACUACUUCUCCAAAGUACAAAUCCAGACACAUUGAAUGGCUCAAACACCAAUUGACUACCAGAGCUAUCAGACGGGUGAAUAUAGAGAGGGUGAGAUGGAUCCAGUGAAAAAGGAACAAAAUUAUCAAAAGUCGAAGGCACGUCAUCAUUAUUCAAUAUAAUACCCAUCAGAUCGAGUUGCAACCAGAACGAGUUCACAAUAUAAAAGAUAAAAGUCGACUGAUAACAAACAGAGGUAAAACGGAGUUGCAUUCAACAAAAAAUCAAGACAUGCAGACAAGUGAGAAUAUACCAGCCUUCUUCUGGAAAUCCGAAAAAGUAAGAUCUCGUCUAAUCGCAAUAUCUUUUCUCCCAAAUGUAACAACACUUUCGUGAAGACCAAAAAUACAGAGAAGAUAUACCACAACCAAAGAUCGAAGCUGAAAAGUCCCAAAUUUCUCUGGUGAAAAAAUACAGUACUGCUUCAGCAACCUCUAAUUUCAACCAAAAUCAAAACGAGAAAAACUUCCGGCAAGGGUACAAUCGGAAGAGAGCUCACAAUAAGAGGAAUCUAAAUCUCUGCUCUGAUACCAUGUUAACUUGGUACAGAGAUUUGCUAUGGCGGAAUAAAUGAAGAGAAAACCCUAACAUUGAGAAAAGAGUGACACAGAAGGUUCGAGAGAAAAUGUGAGCUUGUCAAAAUGACU
rnacentral:lncRNA from 1 species